UACAUCCUGUGGGUGUAUGAUGUAUGUGGUU
rnacentral:piRNA from 2 species